rnacentral:lncRNA from 1 species
CUCGCGGGUAUAAGAUUUUCAGAAAAAAAAGAAACAUUUAUUUUUCAUUACAAAUUUUAUUAAUUACUUUUAGUAGUUGUUACUUUAUCAUAUGGUACAAAAUCAUUUCAAAAAAUCAAUUGUUGUUGGCCCCAAGUGACUUUUAAUGUAUAGAUAUCAUUGAAAAAGCUCCAAAUUAUCUCCCUUUGGUGCAAAAUUGCCAUUUUUUGGCAUUAAAAUUGAAAUAACUUUUUAAACUCAUCGGUGACCUAUAUUUUUUAUUGUUGUUUUCGAUUAAGCUGUACAUUAACUAAAUAAUUGUAAAAUUUAAGCGAGUUCUG